AUGGGUGCAGGGAGCCUGCGAAAGGUGAAAAGCCAGCUGGGGGGGUGCACUGGGGGUUGUUGCUCCCUCGGAGCAGGAACCCUGGCUCUCUGGUGCUGUGGGCACAGCGAGCACCCUGCUUUCCUUCCCAAGGAGCUGAGCAGUGAGCUCGCCGUGCUGCACCAGGGAGAAGCCACCGCAGCUGCACGUGACAGUGCCCAUCCUGCUCCUUGUCACAUAGCAUUGAGGACAGCAGGGGUGAAGAGCACGAAAAUGCAGCCAGCAGACACGGACACCCCCCCUCAACACAGCCCUGCUGCAAACCUCCCUUCCCCACCUGCCCUGGGCCAAACCCCGGCCGAUGCCCCGGGAGGGAUUUGGAUCAAGCUGUUAACGAGGCUGUGGAGCCUCCUUGGGAAGACCUUCAGCACGAGCUCCAUCCUGCUCAGCCAGGUGAGGACAACCCAUGGCAUCAUCCAUUGGAGCGGGACCAUGCCAUGGAGCUGGGGCCAGAAAUCCCUGCCCGUGGCCAGUCUCUGUGCCAUCCCCGUGCCAGCUGGCAUCUGUAUCCUGCUUGAAAACAUCUUCCUGACAGCAUCUGCGGAUGGCCCCGAGUCACCGAGGACAUCACCACGCUCGUCCUGGGCAGAAAGACUUGCACAACAGAGGCAUGGCCAGCGCGCCUGCCUGGGGAGAGCAGCACAACCCUGCCAGGGGGGUAUCUCCAAAAUUACCACGUUUCAGGGAUUUUGGUGCAUCCCUGGGGCCGUCCCCAGGAAUUUACCCCAGGGGGCUGUUGGAGCAGGAGCGAGGCUCCGUGCUCCUGCAGCCACUGGAGUGCACCGACUGCUGAGGGGACAAAAUGCACUUUUGGGGUGCCCACAGUGUGAUGCUGCUCGCAGUCUGCUGCUGCUUCCCCUGGGCCAAGUGCUUUCCCUAACAGACCAAAAAAAAAAAAAAAAAAAAAAAAAAGAAGAAGAAGAAAACCAAGCCUCCAAACUUAUCUCAAAAGGCCUCGUUAUGACUAUUUUAUUUGCUGGCUUCAGCCCAGCCGCUCGCUGGCCAAAGAGCCUUGAUUUCUCCCUCCAGCUCCAGCUCUUCGGGGGGAGCAGCCUGGCCGGGGUCCCGUGCUCUGGAUUCAGAGGAGCCUGGGUUUCCUUUGGAAAGCCCCGUUAA
rnacentral:lncRNA from 1 species